GUGGGGAAUAUUGGACAAUGGGGGAAACCCUGAUCCAGCAACGCCGCGUGGGUGAUGAAGGCCUUCGGGUCGUAAAGCCCUGUUGGGUGGGAAGAAACGGUGCCGUAACGAAGCACCCUGACGUCACCACCUGAGGAAGCACCGGCUAACUCUGUGCCAGCAGCCGCGGUAAUACAGAGGGUGCAAGCGUUGUUCGGAAUUAUUGGGCGUAAAGGGCGCGUAGGCGGAAAGGCAUGUCAGGUGUGAAAUCCCUGGGCUCAACUCAGGAACUGCAUUUGAAACUGCCUAUCUAGAGUGCGGUAGAGGAUAGUGGAAUUCCCGGUGUAGAGGUGAAAUUCGUAGAUAUCGGGAGGAACACCAGUGGCGAGAGCGGCUAUCUGGGCCGACACUGACGCUGAGGCGCGAGAGCGUGGGUAGCAAACAGGAUUAGAAACCCCAGUAGUCC
rnacentral:rRNA from 1 species